GACGUGGCCUGGGUAUCGAGUCAUAACGUCCACGGUGGAGGCGAGUAAGUUCACGGUGGCUCAGUUCAUUUACGGCUCCUCAUGGUUGCCGUCCACCGGAGUUGCAUUCCUCGGAGGGCUAAAUGUGUAAUUGCGCUAAUUGUAUUAUAUAUAAGGUGGUAAUAAAGAAAGGAGGAGAAAAGAAAAAAAAGUUACUAAAUCCACGAAAAGGGUAAAAAGUGUCGGCAUAAAACACCA
rnacentral:misc_RNA from 1 species